rnacentral:rRNA from 1 species
CAGUAGCCGCGGUAAUACAGAGGGUGCGAGCGUUAAUCGGAUUUACUGGGCGUAAAGCGUGCGUAGGCGGCUUCUUAAGUCGGAUGUGAAAUCCCUGAGCUUAACUUAGGAAUUGCAUUCGAUACUGGGAAGCUAGAGUAUGGGAGAGGAUGGUAGAAUUCCAGGUGUAGCGGUGAAAUGCGUAGAGAUCUGGAGGAAUACCGAUGGCGAAGGCAGCCAUCUGGCCUAAUACUGACGCUGAGAGACGAAAGCUAGGGGAGCAAAUGGGAUUAGAUACCCGCGUAGUCCCUGUCUCUUAUAC